AGCCACUUGCUCUGGCACCUUUCUGCCUCUGCACUGAAACAUGGGACAGCAGCUGCUUCGGAGCUGCCCCCACCGUGGUCAAAGGGAUUCAUCUGCACUUUAAACAUUCAGUGCACAGAAAAUGGAAUAGCAGUAUCUCCUUUCAUUUCCAUGCUCACCGACACACACUCAAACAGAGCGCUAUGCUUUUCCACAGUAUCUCACAGUACAUUUCUUUAUCUCUACUUUUCUCCCUCCUUCCUUCAUUAAGUCCUUCUUUAAGACUUAUUUUUCCUUGUGUUUAUUUUGGAACAUAUGAGUUAACCAAAUCUUUCUCCCUUUGUCUCUCAUCAGAGCCUUCAUUGCUUUACAUCCAUUGGGAAGAACUGAUCCAGUUAUCUCCCAAAUUGCAUUUCAGGAGCUGGCAAGCCUGACUUCACAGAUAAACUGGAGAGCACCCCAACUGAUGUAAAUGCAGGACACAGCUUUUCCUGCUUCAUUCGGCAGUAGAUGAUGAUUACUCAAUUUUGCUACAACAUUGAUUGCUACCAGAGGGAUCAGUGUGCUUUGCCAUCAUUUCCAAUAUUCAGUUGUUAUGUAGCGAUUGUUGUUGUCUAUUAUUUUAUGUUAGGGCAGCAAUUAGUACUCUCAGAGAUUGAUGCCUCUCAUCAGCACGCAAAAGACAGUUUCUCUUCCAUGUUUCUCACAGACUAAACAUAAGACAAGAGACAACAGAUAAAUCCAUCAAGCAGCCCAGAUACUGGAGAAAUGAUUAUUGAUGCAAUGAGUCACAGCAGUGCCUUAUUAUAAUUUCUGCAGGCUCUUUCUGGCUGCAGAAGACAGAAGCCCUUCGUUUGAUUUUCUUUCAUUUGGAGUAUAACAUGCUCCCUCUCCAUCAGAUCUACACUCUCAUUAUAUCUCAACAUCUGAUUCAAGAUUGGUGAAUGUAGUAAUGCAUCCCUCCCUGGAAAGGAGAUACAUUUUUAUAAAACAGCAAAAUCAGUAUUUUUCAGGACAACACUGACUACCCAAUUUCUAUUUAGUGGAAGUAUUUGGGUAGAUAUAAAGCCUACAUAACCCUGGACAGUGAUGUACUCUACUUGGUUGAAGGCAUACUCCUUUAGUAUUUUCAGAUGUCUCCAUUUUACUGUCAUCAUGAACUCUGCAGGCUUGGAUAACUCUGCUAGCACCCUCACAGUGCUGCAGAGGUCCUUAGGGAUAGGCUGCCGAAGAACCUUGAUGUAAUGAGCAUAAAGCAGUCCCACGCCAUGCCCUGGGCACUUUGAAGCCUGGAGCUAUUGCUGACCC
rnacentral:lncRNA from 1 species